rnacentral:rRNA from 1 species
UACGAAGGGGACUAGCGUUGUUCGGAAUCACUGGGCGUAAAGCGCACGUAGGCGGAUGUGUCAGUCAGGGGGUGAAAAGCCUGUGGCUCAACCACAGAAUUGCCUUUGAUACUGUUUGGCUAGAGACCGGAAGAGGUAAGUGGAACUGCGAGUGUAGAGGUGAAAAUUCGUAGAUAUUCGCAAGAACACCAGUGGCGAAGGCGGCUUACUGGUCCGGUUCUGACGCUGAGGCGCGAAAAGCGUGGGGGAGCAAAACAGG